GCGUUUGUAGCUCAGUUUGGAUAGAGCGUCGGCCUUCGGAUCCGAAAGUCAUAGGUUCAAAUCCUAUCAAACGUA
rnacentral:tRNA from 1 species